GCUGGUGCGCGCCAUUGGUUGUGCUCAAAAUCCAUUGCGGCACAUGAAAGCAACGACGAACCUGGUUGGAGGUUGUACUGAGAAAAUACGAUUAGACUAAACCGGGCUAAGGCCCGUCACAUCACCGGGCAAAAGUGAUGGUCUUUGAACAGCAGGAGGGGGCUUCAGAGGAUGGUCUUUGAACAGCAGGAGGGGGCUUCAGAGGAUGGUCUUUGAACAGCAGGAGGAGGCUUCAGAGGAUGGUCUUUGAACAGCAGGAGGGGGCUUCAGAGGAUGGUCUUUGAACAGCAGGAGGGGGCUUCAGAGGAUGGUCUUUGAACAGCAGGAGGGGGCUUCAGAGGAUGGUCUUUGAACAGCAGGAGGGGGCUUCAGAGGAUGGUCUUUGAACAGCAGGAGGGGGCUUCAGAGGAUGGUCUUUGAACAGCAGGAGGGGGCUUCAGAGGAUGGUCUUUGAACAGCAGGAGGAGGCUUCAGAGGAUGGUCUUUGAACAGCAGGAGGGGGCUUCAGAGGAUGGUCUUUGAACAGCAGGAGGGGGCUUCAGAGGAUGGUCUUUGAACAGCAGGAGGGGGCUUCAGAGGAUGGUCUUUGAACAGCAGGAGGGGGCUUCAGAGGAUGGUCUUUGAACAGCAGGAGGGGGCUUCAAAGACUCCUGCCACUUGUUGGACCCAAAGACAUCAACCGAUUUUACUUCACACCUUAAUGCUAAUUGAAUUUGUAUCUGGUCUGUUCUUGCAAGCCUGGGAGCCUCAGCAUUCAAUCCCAAUAAAAAAUAUAUAUAUCA